rnacentral:rRNA from 1 species
AGCGACAAAAGCUCAAAUUUGAAAUCUGGCACCUUCGGUGUCCGAGUUGUAAUUUGAAGAAGGUAACUUUGGAGUUGGCUCUUGUCUAUGUUCCUUGGAACAGGACGUCACAGAGGGUGAGAAUCCCGUGCGAUGAGAUGUCCAACUCUAUGUAAGCGCUUUCGAAGAGUAGAGUUGUUUGGGAAUGCAGCUCUAAGUGGGUGGUAAAUUCCAUCUAAAGCUAAAUAUUGGCGAGAGACCGAUAGCGAACAAGUACAGUGAUGGAAAGAUGAAAAGAACUUUGAAAAGAGAGUGAAAAAGUACGUGAAAUUGUUGAAAGGGAAGGGUUUGAGAUCAGACUUGGUAUUUUGUAUGUCUUGCUUUCGGGUGGGGCCUCUGCAGUUUACUGGGCCAGCAUCGGUU